GGGAUAUUAGCUCAGUUGGUUUAGAGCACUACCUCGACAAGGUAGGGGUCGCUGGUUCGAGCCCAGCAUGUCCCACUA
rnacentral:tRNA from 1 species